rnacentral:rRNA from 1 species
GUUUGAUGGCGACCGGCGCACGGGUGAGUAACACGUAUCCAACCUGCCGAUGACUCGGGGAUAGCCUUUCGAAAGAAAGAUUAAUACCCGAUGGCAUAGUUCUUCCGCAUGGUAGAACUAUUAAAGAAUUUCGGUCAUCGAUGGGGAUGCGUUCCAUUAGGUUGUUGGCGGGGUAACGGCCCACCAAGCCUUCGAUGGAUAGGGGUUCUGAGAGGAAGGUCCCCCACAUUGGAACUGAGACACGGUCCAAACUCCUACGGGAGGCAGCCAUG